rnacentral:rRNA from 1 species
CAACGAUGAAGAACGCAGCGAAAUGCGAUACGUAAUGCGAAUUGCAAGACCUCGUGAAUCAUCCAAAUUUUGAACGCACAUUGCGCUUUCAGGAUUUUCCUGGAAGCAUGCUUGCCUGAGUGUCUGCAAACCUCAAUCAGCGCCAACUUGUUGGUAGCU